rnacentral:rRNA from 1 species
UACAGAGGGUGCGAGCGUUGUCCGGAAUUACUGGGCGUAAAGAGCGUGUAGGCGGCCAGGUAGGUCAGCUGUGAAAACUCGAGGCUCAACCUCGAGAUGUCGGCUGAAACCAUCUGGCUAGAGUCUGGAAGAGGAGAAUGGAAUUCCCGGUGUAGCGGUGAAAUUCGUAGAUAUCGGGAGGAACACCAGUGGCGAAGGCGGCAACCUGGACAGAUAUUGACGCUGAGGUGCGAAAGCGUGGGGAGCAAACAGG